rnacentral:rRNA from 1 species
GACGAACGCUGGCGGCGUGCCUAAUACAUGCAAGUCGAACGAACUCUGGUAUUGAUUGGUGCUUGCAUCAUGAUUUACAUUUGAGCGAGUGGCGAACUGGUGAGUAACACGUGGGAAACCUGCCCAGAAGCGGGGGACAACACCUGGAAACAGAUGCUAAUACCGCAUAACAACUUGGGCCGCAUGGUCCGAGUUUGAAAGAUGGCUUCGGCUAUC